AUGAGAAGACGGAGGAAGGGAGAUAUGUAAAACUAACAAGAUAUAUCAGUCAUCUGCGGUAUUUGUUGAAGCUGAGGAUUGCAUUGGACUGUUAGGACAGCUGAGAAGACUACUGGUGUGCACCUACCCAACCUCCAGGACUUGUACAUCUCCAGACUAAAGAAACAUGCAGGCCAUCUCCACCUUGAACAUCUAGCACACCUACAAAUCUAUAGCCUUAUGGUGUUUAUGCCACCUGGGCAUUAGACAAUAGAAUACUACUCAUGAAAAUGCAUAUUUAUAUUUAUACAGAUGUAUAUACAGUACUUAAUACGUGCAUAUUUACAUAUGCCUUCUGCCUACCUUCUUUGCCUUGUUUUUUUUUUUUUUUUUUUAUAGUUGACAGAUAUUGAACUGGAAAAAAGCUUAUUAAUGUGGUCCAUGAGGUGAAUGAAUUACAAUAGGU
ensembl:lncRNA